rnacentral:tmRNA from 1 species
GGGGAUGUUUUGGUUUUGACAGCAUUGACUUUGGACAGUAAGCACGCCGGGCGCUGUGGGCCUGCCCGUAAAUCUCGACUCUCAAAAAUUCAGUUGGCAACAACAACUAUGCACUCUCUGCCUAAUUGACCAAGUCAUUUAGCUUAAUCCGCGUCGCCAAGGCUGCGACGCCGACGAGUAUCCCUCGGACUUUAGGCCGGUUAUGUUCCGAUCCAGGGGUAUCAUUC